rnacentral:rRNA from 1 species
CCGACUUACAUGGAAUAACGUGGGAAUUUUUGAGCUAAAACAUGCUGGUUGGCCCCACUUUUUUGGAAGGGCUGUAUUUAUUAGAUAACAAACCAAUAUUCCUCGUGUCUAUUGUGGUGACUCAUAAUAACUGAUCGAAUCGCAUGGCCUUUGUCCGCGAUAAAUCAUUCAAGUUUCUGCCCCAUCAGCUUUCGAUGGUAGUGUAUUGGACUACCAUGGCUUUAACGGGUAACGGAGGAUUAGGGUUCGAUUCCGGAGAGGGAGCCUGAGAAACGGCUACCACAUCUAAGGAAGGCAGCUCGCAGCGUA